rnacentral:lncRNA from 1 species
ACCAAUAGAUCUCUCAGAACUGGAAGCUGAUGAGGCAGAAGGUGCUGAGCUCAGAGACGUGAGCCACGGUGCUAGUCUGGCUGGACAUAGAGCACAAGGCAGCUCCUUACUGUAAAGAAUGAUUUGGUCCAAGGUGUCGGUGGUGUUGAAUCUUUGAGCGACUGUAUUGACGUUAGAGCGUUGCUUUGUCUCCCUGCUUGGCUUUUAUCUCUGUUGCAUCAGUGGCACAUCUGCGGCCCCACCAGGAAAUGAAGAUGGAGAUAGAAGAACAAUGGCAUCCACUCCAGAACUGUUUAUACGUCACUGAAAAUAAGACAUCUGAACUUAAAACCAUCGGGCACUUUGCAUUAUCACCUACCACCAUGAUAACUCCUUUUCAGAUUUCAAAUGUCCCCUUCUUAGGUCUCAUGCGUGGCAGAAUCGAGGAAUUUAUCGGCUCCACACCCUUUUUCUCCAGGCCCAGGUAUUUUUUUCAAUCAGGUGACACUGUUGCUCCAUUUCAACAAAGUAUGAUUUAAAAAAAAUUCACUUUUUAAUGCUUUUUAUAAUGCAAUUAUUCUGUAUAUUAUUUUUAAUUUUGGUGCAUUGAUGUUUCACCUGCACGUAUGU